rnacentral:rRNA from 1 species
AAAAUUAGAGUGUUCAAAGCAGGCAGACAUUAAUCUCUGCCACCGAAUACAUUAGCAUGGGAUAAUGGAAUAGGACCCUGUCCUCCUAUUUUCAGUUGGUUUUCGAGGACCAGGGUAAUGAUUAAUAGGGAUAGUUGGGGGCAUUAAUAUUUAAUUGUCAGAGGUGAAAUUCUUGGAUUUAUGAAAGAUUAACUUCUGCGAAAGCAUCUGCCAAGGAUGUCCACAAUAUAAUCAAGAACGAAAGUUAGGGGAUCGAAGACGAUCAGAUACCGUCGUAGUCUUAACCAUAAACGAUGCCGACCAGCGAUUAGGAGACGUUGAAUUACAAAACACCACCAUCAGGCGGGUCGUUCCUGGCUAGUCUCGCGCAAGCGGGGCUGGUGGGGGCGAUUCGUUUCCUGAUGGCCCGGUGAA